AAGACUAUAGACCUGCGGAGUACCUGCGGAAGGAUCAUUAACGAAUGAUCAUCCUUGAUCUUCCAACCCUCAAACCAUCCGUGGAUGCAAGCUGUGCUUCGGCGUCGAGAGGCGCCGCCUUUAUGCCUCAUCAAGUCUUUUUAUUCAUGUGAAUUGAAAAAUGUCAAAACUUUUAACAACGGAUCUCU
rnacentral:misc_RNA from 1 species